AACCACUGAUGACACCUUUUAUUAUUCUGACACCUCAUAUGAGCGCUGCCCAGCAGUGCCUGAAUAUCAUUUACAGUCUGAGGUUC